CAAAACACAGAAUAAAUAUAUCCCAAUCAUUAACAACCACUAACCCAUCUCCCACCGUCAGAGACUCAUACUUUCUCUCUCCUCCACAACUCUCUCUCUCUCUACAAUUUAGAGCAUCAUAACGAACUUAAAUUGGGUCUGCCCAAAAUGGAGCUGGUACCAUAUUCAGAACCCAACUGCAAAUCAAACUCCACCACUGUCCCAUGGCAAGACAUGUUCCGAUCCGCGUCGAUCCGAAAACCCGACCCGUCGCCCCAGAACCCCGCGCCGCCACCUCCGAAUCCCUCCACCGCCGAUUCCGACCAAAACCCAGAUCACAACUCACUUUUGGGCGACCCCCAGGUACGUCUCGCUCUCUGUAUCGCCAUGGCCCACGCUGGCCUGGCCUUCACUAUAUUCGUACUCUACGGUCUUUGUAAAUUACUCGAAGAAUAUCGGCGUCCCUUUCAGUGGGCAGUGCUCUGUUCAAUCCCUUUGAGAGGAAUUCAACAAACCCUUGUUGGGUUUUGGUCCGAGCCCUUGCAAUUAGGGCUCACGGAGACCGUAUUAGCGGUUCCCGUGGCUGUAUUUAGGGUCUUUGUUGGUACCCUAGUUGAUUUUCGUGAUGUGUGCUUCCGAUUUUUUCUCCGGCGAAAGAAAUCGGAUGUUUUGAGGCGGAAUCGAAGUGGGUUUUCGAAAUUGGUUCGAUGGCUCGUGUCAAUUUGGGUUUUUGUGAUGUUGUAUGAACAAAUUGGAGGCAUGGGGUCUAUAGCAGUUAUUAGCUUGGCGUUCAUGUUUACCUCUAGUGCUGUUCAAUCAACCAUGUCCUCAGUUUCUUCAUUUAGGAGUCGUGGUUUUCGCCGUAGUCCAUUUAGUGCAUUUUUCACAAGAGGUUUACUGAACAGGUUGAAGACAAUUGUGGCUAUUGGAUUGAUUGUUGGAAUGAUAGUUGGGUUUUUGGCAGGCUUGAUUUUCUUUUCCUAUAAGAUAGGAGUUGAGGGGAAGGAUGCUGUAAUCUCAUUGAAAUCUCAUGUAGAAGAGAGUAAUUACGCGGAGAAGAUUGGUGUUAAGCAAUGGAUGGAUGAGAAUGAUGUGCCUGGGAUGGUAGAUAUGUACACUACCAAGUGUUAUGAAACUGUGUCUGAGCAGAUAGAUAGUUUGGCAAUGCAGUAUAAUUUGACAGAGUUCGUCACCGGGAUUAAACAUUUUGUGAUAACCCCAUCAGUGAAUUCUUCUGAGAACUCCACAGCUUUAAUGAGCCCAUCCCCAUACACUGAGAAGUUUGUGAGUUUGAAGAAGAGGGUUAGCAAUCGUGAAUGGGGGGAAAUUUAUACCGAAGUGGAUGCAAUCUUUAGGGAAUUACUGAUCUCCAGGGAAGAUUUAAUUGAGAAGGCAAAAGGGUUUGCCAUUCAGGGAAUCGACGUGUCGCGACGUGUACUUGCUAGUAGUAAAUCUGUUGUAGGGGGCAGUGCGAAGGUUAUGUUUUCAAUUGGUCGGUCCAUAAUCUGCGGAGCUGCAGGCGUUUUCAAUUUUGUGUCUCAGUCUAUGGUUUUCAUCUGGGUUUUGUAUUAUCUAAUCACAUCCGAGUCUGGUGGGGUAACAGAACAAGUAAUGUGUAUGCUUCCCAUUUCAAAAUCUGCAAGGACUCGAUGUGUUGAAGUUCUUGAUAAAGCUAUUUCAGGUGUUCUGUUGGCAACUGCUGAGAUUGCUUUCUUUCAGGGAUGUCUCACUUGGCUUUUGUUUAGACUAUUCUCGAUACACUUCUUGUACAUGUCGACUGUACUUGCAUUCAUCAGUUCUUUGUUGCCAAUUUUCCCAUAUUGGCUUUCAACUAUUCCAGCAGCUGUGCAAUUGGUAGUGGAAGGAAGAUACGUUUUGGCCAUCAGCUUGUCUGUUAUCCAUCUCGUUCUUAUGGAGUAUGGUAUAUCCGAAAUUCAAGAGGAUAUACCUGGUUAUAGCGCAUAUCUUACUGGGCUUAGCAUCAUUGGUGGCAUGACAUUGUUCCCAUCAGCAGUGGAGGGAGCAAUAAUGGGUCCGCUGAUAACUACAGUUGUGAUUGCUCUUAAGCAUUUGUACGUCGAAUUUGUUCUGGAUGAACCAAAUGAAAGUGAUAAGUAGGAUGCAGUGUGAGUUUCUAUUGCUGUCUGGAGAAUUCGUUUGUGUACAUUAGUUCAACUGCUUGGAAGAAAUUGCAGAAAUUGUUAUUCUCAGCACUUAUUUUUUGCUGAUCUAUUCACAGUGCCUCUCUUCAACAACAUGGUGAGCAAAGGAGUAGCAUACUUUUGUGUGUGCGUGCGCGCGCGCUGGCUAGGAGAAUCAUUUUCAGUAUACCUAAGUGAGGAGGAGAACAUGAUAAAUGAAAUUGCAGGACACACAUGCAAAGUUGGUCUGAUUGCACGUGGACAUUUGAUUUCAAGAGAUGAGUUUUAUGUAAUUUGUGGCCAUCAACAACCUAUUGUGUGUGUGUGUGUGAGAGAGAGAGAGAGAGAGAAAUUUUUGGCAUACAAUGAGGUUCUGAGAAAGAUUAUUAGGAAUGGGUAUGUUUAGCAAUCCAUUUUCUGGUUACUAGUAGGCACUGCAGUAGCUGUUAUUUUUCAGACCUGUCUUGUUCAUUUGUUCCCAAGUAGUAUAAAAACCGGGAAAAAAUUGUUCAUUCGUUCCGACUUAACCAUCCUUUUUUAUUGUUGAUUUUAAGUUAUUUCAA